AUGUUUAUUUUUGAAGCACUUCUGCAAAACAGAUUUUCUGUGGGCUUCCCGGUGUCAGGGCCGACCUUCAGACAGACCUUUCCUGAGAGGCAGCUGCAGGAGUCACAUGGGAGAAGCCACCUCCAAGCAGAGUCUCCUGAGAAGCUGCUGAAAGGCCUGCCACAUCGAGAAAAGCAGCUCCUAAAAUAAGGGGAAGCAGGACGGGCUCCAGCAGAGCCGGGGUUGGGGAGCACUUCCCUCCGGAGGCACUGGCCGCCUCCAGGCUGUCUCCAGACGCCACUCUCACCUGCACGCUGCAUCUCAUCAGGGAGCUUCUCUGCAAAAAUCUGGCCUAAAGAGGGUGGGAGGGGAGGAGGGUGAGCUUCCAGGAUGGGGCGUGGAGCUCUCCUGCUGUGGAAGUAUCUUCAACGAACACUCCACGGUUCUGACAGAGAUUGCCACCACCUUCCCCCGACUGUCCUGAGCUCAUCUGGAUCUUUCUGUCUCUGAAAAGAUGCUGAAAUCCCAGAGUCACUUCCUAGCCUGGUUGUAAAUUGUGUCUUCCUGUGAAUUUGUUAAAACACCCUAGGAAAGACAGUUUCCAAAUACAGGCAGCCUUGUGUGGUUAUGCCUGAUUUCUGGGAUAAUCCUCUGAGGUUUUCCUGGUGGGCAUGCAUCACACAGAAGGUCCACAUGGAACCCGCCCUUUGAGACCAGGCAUCUUGAUGCAGAAAACUCAUGCCACUUUCCUCAGAAUCGCACUCACAAACACGCAGAGGGACGUGAAGGGAUGGACGUCCUUCCACACGCCAGCCGAUGCAGAGUUGGGGGUGGCAUCACACAGACCCGGCUCUGUCCUCCAGGCUCGGCCACUCCUAGCUGUGCGACUUUGGGCAGGGAAACAGAAGGCAGGAAAGGAGCUCUCUUGCACUUGCUUCUUAAUUGUCUUCAGCCCAACAAUUCUUCAUAUUUCGGGGAGGCACAUUCUGGUCUCCAGAAACAGCUAGAAGACACAGCAGCUACACACGCAGCCACACUAAAUCUGUUUGGGUCAUCAUCCAUGGAAAUAAUCGUAGAGAUCUCUUAGCCUCUUCUAGCAAAAGGAGUGCUCGCCCGCCUUCUCAGGAUGUAAGUUAACGAGCAAGGACUUGGCUCCAGAGCCUCGGACAGGCCCUAGCACACAGCCAGUCCGCAGCAGAUGUCUGCUGAAUGAACGGUGAAUGAACAAACGUGCUGAGAAACACACGCGGGGUCUGAAAAGUGCGCUCGAGCCUGGAACCCGAGGCCCCGCUGACGAGCUGGCCACUCACGCAAAACAUACUGGCAUCGAGGUCAGAAGACAACACACGCACAUCAGAACGGGGAGGCCUUUCUCUGAAGGGCCACAGGGCACAGCGACCAGGCUCUGACAGAGGGGACUGUGCAGCACGGAGCAGCAAACUGAGAAGCCAGCAGCGGCGGCUGGGGGCAGACACAGCAGGACGGGUGGGGGCGGACACAGGCUCCGCCACCGACAGGGGACCCUCGUGUGACUCUCUGUGACCCUGAGCAAGUCUCUCCACCUCCCUUGCCUCGGUUUCCAGAAGUUUAAAUGGAGAUGGCCUCAGAGGCUGCUCGCCGGGUGGCUGUGAUGAGCACCGGAAAAGCCACCACACACCCGGGGUCCCCGGUUAUGCUGGCGCCUCACGCCACACUGCUUUAUCACCGAUUGCAAGUCUGCAGCCACGCACAUAGGAACAACGGCAGGGCACUGAAUCCUGCAGGAUAAACAGAUCCAAGGAGGCACCCCUGCCAGAGGAGGCACUCCAGGCACCCCACCAGAACCAGGGGUUGUGAGGAACCGAAGGGCCGUGCGGGCAAUGGAGCUGGAGCAACAGACUCUCAGGGAAGGUUAAGGAGAAAUGGCAGACUGGACGGAGGGAGGUGCACCUGCUGAACUACGAUGCGUCUAGAGAAGAGGCAUCAAUGGGGGCUGAGCCUCAUCCCGGUUAUGCGACCGCAGUGACGUGUGCCUCCAUAGGUACUGAGCCGUCUGAGAUGACUCCUACACAAGAGCAAAGGCCAACAUCAGAAAGGACGGCCAAGGGGCACUGACCAGGCACACGCUCAGCCUCACUGCGGCCUCUUCCUCGCUCUGCACCUGGGAGCCUGCCUUCAAGGAACGGAAGCUGCCCUCCAAUCAAGCUGUGCUCCUGCAUCUCCGCAGAGCGAGGGCUUCCUUUAGAGAUAUCCAGACACAUGCAUUUUCUUUUCCUUUUCUUUUUUUUUUUUUGAGAUGGAGUCUCACUCUGUCGCCAGGCUGGAGUGCAGUAGCAUGACCUCAGCUCACUCACUGCAACCUCCGCUUCCUGGGUUCAAGCGAUUCUUCUGCCUCAGCCUCCCAAGUAGCUGGGACUACAGGUACACGCCACCAUGCCCAGCUAAUUUUUGUAUUUUUAGUAGAGACGGUUUCACCAUGUUGGCCAGGAUAGUCUCGAUCUCUUGACCUCAUGAUCCGCCUGCCUCAGACUCCCAAAGUGUUGGGAUUACAGGUGUGAGCCACUGCGCCCAGCCCACGUUUUCUUUAGGAUGCUGGGAGGUGCAGAGCCGUGAGGAGGUGGAGCGAAUGCCACAGAUGUUACAGCUCCGUGCUCUGUGGCGCAGGCCUUUGUUUUGAUGACAAAUACCAGGGUUUGGGUACCACUGUGAAGGAAACGGAAGAUCUCCGUGCUGUGUGCAGGUUCCCUGGGGUGGCCUCUGAACCUCUCACAUUCCCCCUUGGCUGCACGUCUGCAAUUUCAUCUCAGAACCAAGCCUCCUCCACCCCUACCAAUCCGGAUGAGCUAAGGAGGCCUUGCUGGGGUGCACAUCGAACACGAAGGGGACCCGGUGCCCGUCUUCCCUCUGCCCGUGGGGGGACCUUAAUGAGAGGCGCCCGGGCAUAAGGACCCCCGUGCAGCACCGUGCGCCCUGGCGUGGCGCGCACGGGAACGCUGAGGUGGCUGUGCUCGGGCAGGCAGGGGUGAUCUGCUAGGUGGCGGCGGUCCCCCGUUUCCGCCAAUCACUCACCUCCCCCUCGCUCGGCGAUCUCUCGGGUUUUGCUUCCACCUCUUCAUUUCUAAAUCAGCGUCUAGUGCCUCGUUACUCAUCUCAGCAGUGACUGGCAGACGUUAAUGAAUUACUGAUUUUCACCUUUACCAGCCAAUAUUGUAUAUUUAUGUUGGAAAGAAAGGUAUUUUUUGAAUC
ensembl:lncRNA novel transcript, antisense to RPTOR